rnacentral:tRNA from 1 species
CCUUCGAUAGCUCAGUUGGUAGAGCGGUGGACUGUAGAAGACGUUCGAUUGUGAAGAUUAGUUGUGGAUCAUUGCGCCCCGUAAAGCAUCCUUCCUUUCUCUCCAUGAAACUACACUUUAAACACCCUCGAGUAAGAAGCUGAUGGAGCCUAAUCUCACGAGAAAACGAUAGACAUCCAUAGGUCACUGGUUCAAAUCCGGUUCGAAGGA